CCCGCACAAGCGGUGGAGCGAUGUGGUUUAAUUCGAAGCAACGCGAAGAACCUUACCAGGUCUUGACAUCCCGAUGCUAUUUCUAGAGAUAGAAAGUUACUUCGGUACAUCGGUGACAGGUGGUGCAUGGUUGUCGUCAGCUCGUGUCGUGAGAUGUUGGGUUAAGUCCCGCAACGAGCGCAACCCCUAUUGUUAGUUGCCAUCAUUCAGUUGGGCACUCUAGCGAGACUGCCGGUAAUAAACCGGAGGAAGGUGGGAUGACGUCAAAUCAUCAUGCCCCUUAUGACCUGGGCUACACACGUGCUACAAUGGUUGGUACAACGAGUUGCGAGUCGGUGACGGCGAGCUAAUCUCUUAAAGCCAAUCUCAGUUCGGAUUGUAGGCUGCAACUCGCCUACAUGAAGUCGGAAUCGCUAGUAAUCGCGGAUCAGCACGCCGCGGUGAAUACGUUCCCGGGCCUU
rnacentral:rRNA from 1 species